UGAGUACGAGCGGCUACGGCCGCGAAGUGGAUGAUGUCAAGCUUCCAAGAAAAGCCCUAUACCCGUUAAGGCAUGAUGGCCUGUACCCGAAACCGACACAGGUGGGGUGGUAGAGAAUACCGAGGGGCGCGAGGUAACUCUCUCUAAGGAACUCGGCAAAAUGGCCCCGUAACUUCGGGAGAAGGGGUGCCACCGCGAGGUGGUCGCAGUGAAGAGGCCCAGGCGACUGUUUAUCAAAAACACAGGUCUCCGCUAAGUCGCAAGACGAUGUAUGGGGGCUGACGCCAGCCCAGUGCCGGAAGGUUAAGGAAGCUGGUCAGCGCAAGCGAAGCUGGCGACUGAAGCCCCGGUGAACGGCGGCCGUAACUAUACCGGUCCUAAGGUAGCGAAAUUCCUUGUCGGGUAAGUUCCGACCCGCACGAAAGGCGUAACGAUCUGGGCGCUGUCUCGGAGAGAGGCUCGGCGAAAUAGAAUUGUCUGUGAAGAUGCGGACUACGUGCACCCGGACAGAAAGACCCUAUGAAGCUUUACUGUAGCUUGGUAUUGUGCUCGGGCUCGGAAUGCGCAGGAUAGGUGGGAGGCUUUGAUCCAUUGCUUGCGGGUGAUGGUGAGCCACUGGUGAGAUACCACUCUUUCCGAGCUAGAGUUCUAACAGCAACCCGUUAUCCGGGUGCUGGACAGUAUCAGGUGGGCAGUUUGACUGGGGCGGUCGCCUCCUAAAAGGUAACGGAGGCGCGCAAAGGUCUGCUCAGGCUGGUUGGAAAUCAGCCGACGAGUGUAAAAGCAGAAGCAGGCUUGACUGUGAGACCUACAAGUCGAACAGGGAGGAAACUCGGCUUUAGUGAUCCGACGGUUCUGCGUGGAAGGGCCGUCGCUCAACGGAUAAAAGUUACUCUAAGGAUAACAGGCUGAUCUCCCCCAAGAGUUCACAUCGACGGGGAGGUUUGGCACCUCGAUGUCGGCUCAUCGCAACCUGGGGCUGAAGUCGGUCCCAAGGGUUGGGCUGUUCGCCCAUUAAAGCGGUACGCGAGCUGGGUUCAGAACGUCGUGAGACAGUUCGGUCCAUAUCCGGUGCACGCGCAGGAAUAUUGAGAGGAUUUCUCCCUAGUACGAGAGGACCGGGAGGAACGCACCUCUGGUGUGCCAGUUAUCGUGCCAACGGUAAACGCUGGGUAGCCAUGUGCGGAGUGGAUAACCGCUGAAAGCAUCUAAGUGGGAAGCCCACCUCAAGAUGAGUAUUCCCAUGGCAUAAGCCAGUAAGGUCACGGGAAGAACACCCGUUGAUAGGCUCUACGUGGAAGCGCAGUAAUGUGUGAAGCGGAGGAGUACUAAUAGACCGAGGGCUUGACC
rnacentral:rRNA from 1 species